rnacentral:rRNA from 1 species
ACUCAAAUGAAUUGACGGGGGCCCGCACAAGCGGUGGAGUAUGUGGCUUAAUUCGAUGCAACGCGAAAAACCUUACCUGGGUUUGACAUGCACUUCUAAGCAAAUGAAAGUUUGCGAGGGCAGUAAUGCCCGCUUUGCACAGGUGCUGCAUGGCUGUCGUCAGCUCGUGUCGUGAGAUGUUGGGUUAAGUCCCGCAACGAGCGCAACCCUCGUGCGCUGUUACCGAAUUUUUUCGGGAUUCUGCGCAGACUGCCCCGUGAAACGGGGAGGAAGGCGAGGAUGACGUCAAGUCAGCAUGGCCCUUACACCCAGGGCUGCACACGUACUACAAUGCCCAGUACAAAACGACCCGCGAUUGCGAAAUCUCGGAAAUCAAAAAAACUGGGCUCAGUUCAGAUUGCAGGCUGCAACUCGCCUGCAUGAAGUUGGAAUCGCUAGUAAUGACGCAUCAGCUACGGCGUCGUGAAUACGUUCCCGGGCCUUGCACACACCGCCCGU